rnacentral:tRNA from 1 species
GAAGCGCAAUGGAUAACGCGUUGGACUUCUAAUCCAAAAGUCGUGGAUUCCAAUCCUACCUAAAAUA